rnacentral:rRNA from 1 species
GACGAACGCUGGCGGCGCGCCUAACACAUGCAAGUCGAACGAGCGAGAGAGAGCUUGCUUUCUCGAGCGAGUGGCGAACGGGUGAGUAACGCGUGAGGAACCUGCCUCAAAGAGGGGGACAACAGUUGGAAACGACUGCUAAUACCGCAUAAGCCCACGACCCGGCAUCGGGUAGAGGGAAAAGGAGCAAUCCGCUUUGAGAUGGCCUCGCGUCCGAUUAGCUAGUUGGUGAGGUAACGGCCCACCAAGGCGACGAUCGGUAGCCGGACUGAGAGGUUGAACGGCCACAUUGGGACUGAGACACGGCCCAGACUCCUACGGGAGGCAGCAGUGGGGAAUAUUGCACAAUGGGGGAAACCCUGAUGCAGCGACGCCGCGUGGAGGAAGAAGGUCUUCGGAUUGUAAACUCCUGUUGUUGAGGAAGAUAAUGACGGUACUCAACAAGGAAGUGACGGCUAACUACGUG